rnacentral:lncRNA from 1 species
UUUUCGUUGUGGACAACAGAUGAAGAGGACAGUGCCGCUGAUGAAAUGGACGAAAGAGCGUUGGAUUAUGAUGCAGAUGAGUUAGACUCUAGGGAAGAUGAGGAAGCGGACACGGAUGACAUGUUGGAGUCGCUCGAGGAACGAUCUGACGAAGCCAUGUCAGCAGAUGAAGCGGACAGGAGGUAGACCGGGAGCCUCCGGAUUAUUACCCAGAAUAAACUAUAAACAAAAAGAUUA